GGGAAAUGCCUUUCUCAAGCUGGGGCCCCACACCCAGAGAUAAGCUGAGAAAGCAGAUUCUAGGGGCCUAGCCAACCCACAUUCAUUUCAGAUCAGAGGCCUGAGAGAUUGUCAGACCAAACCAAACAGAAUAAGGCAGCUGACUCCAAAUUCUACAAGAAUUGUGUCAGUGAAAAGGAGUGAACUAAGAAGGACCGGGGUCUACUUCCAUUUACAUUUCAUGAAAGACUAAGGUUAGCAUUUAAGACCUCUUGUGAUCUUUCAACUUACCCCUUUGGUUAUUUUAAGCCCCUCUGGUCACUAGGAAUCAGAAAACCUAAAAGAUGAUAUGCAUAUUUCAGAGCCAUCAAGACAGAAGAUGGGAAACCUGUAUGUAGCCUUUCCUCCAAGAAAUCUGGACCAGAGGAUGAUACCUUGGCUUUUCUUGUACCUAGAGCCAGAUAGAAAACCAUUGGCUCAGAAGGGUCCUGCCAGCUCUGUACUAGUAGGAACCCCACCUCCCAAACCCCAUGGUCUGUUGUUCAAUGACCAGUUUUCAAGGUCUACAGAGUGGCAGAAGAGGGUGGCAGAUUAAGGCAAGAAGAAGGAAACCUCUGUCUUGGUUGAGAAAUCAAGGAGUCCCUGCUGUCACCCUUCAAAACAGAUAAUGUAUAAAAUACUGUCGAUACAGCCAGAGACUGUUAAUAAUAAUAACAAUGACAAUGAAAACUAA
rnacentral:lncRNA from 1 species